AGCAGCCGCGGUAAUUCCAGCGUCCGAAUAGCGUAUAUUAAAGUUGUUGCAGUUAAAAAGCUCGUAGUUGAAUUUCGGGAUCAAGGGAUCGGUCAUGCCUUGGUAUGUACUGGUCUUAUUGGUUCUCACCUUCUAAAGAACCAUGAUGUCAUUUAUUUGAUGUUAUGGGGAAUUAGGACUGUUACCUUGAAAAAAUUAGAGUGUUUAAAGCAAGCUUACGCUUGAAUACAUUAGCAUGGAAUAAUGAAAUAGGACAUCAGAUUCUAUUUUGUUGGUUUCUAGGAUCGAUGUAAUGAUUAAUAGGGAUAGUUGGGGGCAUUAGUAUUCAAUUGUCAGAGGUGAAAUUCUUGGAUUUAUUGAAGACUAACUACUGCGAAAGCAUUUGCCAAGGAUGUUUUUCAUUAAUCAAGGACGAAAGUUAGGGGAUCGAAGACGAUCAGAUACCGUCGUAGUCUUAACCAUAAACUAUGCCGACUAGGGAUC
rnacentral:rRNA from 1 species